rnacentral:rRNA from 1 species
CCUACGGGCGGCAGCAGUGAGGAAUAUUGGUCAAUGGACGCAAGUCUGAACCAGCCAUGCCGCGUGCAGGAAGACGGCUCUAUGAGUUGUAAACUGCUUUUGUACGAGGGUAAACGCAGAUACGCGUGUCUGUCUGAAAGUAUCGUACGAAUAAGGAUCGGCUAACUCCGUGCCAGCCGCCGCGGUAAUACGGAGGAUUCAAGCGUUAUCCGGAUUUAUUGGGUUUAAAGGGUGCGUCGGCGGUAGGAUAAGUUAGAGGUGAAAUCCCGAGGCUCAACUUCGGAAUUGCCUCUGAUACUGUUCGGCUAGAGAGUAGUUGCGGUAGGAGGAAUGUAUGGUGUAGCGGUGAAAUGCUUAGAGAUCAUAAAGAACACCGAUUGCGAAGGCAGCUUACCAAGCUACUUCUGACGUUGAGGCACGAAAGCGUGGGGAGCAAACAGGAUUAGAUACCCUAGUAGUC